rnacentral:ncRNA from 2 species
CGAGUAUCAAGAGUUCGGUGAGGGAUACGGCCCCGUGACCCGACGGCAACCUACGCUCGCAAGGUGCCAAUUCCGUCCCAAUCGGGAAAGAUAAUUA